GACGAACGCUGGCGGCGUGCUUAACACAUGCAAGUCGAACGGAAAGGCCCCUUUGGGGGUACUCGAGUGGCGAACGGGUGAGUAACACGUGAGUAACCUGCCCUUGACUUCGGGAUAACUUCAGGAAACUGGGGCUAAUACCGGAUAGGAAUCCUUGCUGCAUGGUGGGGGUUGGAAAGCUUCGGCGGUUUUGGAUGGACUCGCGGCUUAUCAGCUUGUUGGUGGGGUAGUGGCUUACCAAGGCUUUGACGGGUAGCCGGCCUGAGAGGGCGACCGGCCACAUUGGGACUGAGAUACGGCCCAGACUCCUACGGGAGGCAGCAGUGGGGAAUAUUGCACAAUGGGCGGAAGCCUGAUGCAGCAACGCCGCGUGCGGGAGGACGGCCUUCGGGUUGUAAACCGCUUUCAGCAGGGGCGAAGCUUGUGGUGACGGAACCUGCAGAAGAAGCACCGGCUAACUACGUG
rnacentral:rRNA from 1 species